rnacentral:ncRNA from 2 species
CGAGUAUCCAUAGAUGUUGCUUGCUGCUGCUGCCGCUGUUGCUGCUGGUUCUGCUUCUGCCGCGUUUUAACUGGCGGCAACUGCGACAGCGACAGCCACUACUUCAACUUG